CGUUGUUGUUGUUGUUCAAGGUCUCCCUAAGCUACACAAACAUCAAGCCAGUCAACAUUCCAGCAUGGAUGCAAGAGAAACUCAUGAAGCUUCACCCCAACUGUGGAUCUUUUUACAAUGACUGCUGGAGGAGGAAGAGUCCUAUUUCUUCAGGGCAGGUGGCUGCUGAGGUGGAAGGUAAAUCCCUAUUGCCGAAGACAUCAAACACUUCAGAAACAGAGACUGGA